AUGCGGCGAGAGGGACGGCAGCGAGGGUGGGUGCGCGUGUACGACCGCGCCCUGGUGGACCCGGAGGGCAAGCGCCGCGCCGUGCACGUCGUCGACGGCCCCGUGGUGGCCAACGGCGGCUUCAUCCGGGCGCCGCGGAAGCCGACCAACCAAUCCAAGUCCGGCGGCCUCCGCGCGCUCGGCAGGGACGCCCUCAUGGACGAGGAGGACGAGCCGCAGGCCCUUCCGCCGGAGAACAAGCGCUUCGGCUACUACUACUCCAAGGGGUGGCAGUCGCCGUUCAAGUAUGAGGCCACGUCAGGGCAACGGCUGUCGUGGAAGUACGACGCCGCCGAGCACGAGGAGGUGCACGCUCGCCAGCCGCCGCCGGCAGCGCGUUCCGAGGGCAGAUCGGCGUGCAAGGGGAGCCGCAAGUUCAGGCACGACGAGAUCAAGACGUACUAUCUCGACGCAGCCGACGUAGUCGAUGAGCAGCUCGAUUGUCUCUGUGAUUUCGAUUCAUGA
rnacentral:rRNA from 1 species